UGUGUGUUAGUGGAAGCGUCUGGAAAGGCGCGCGAUACAGGGUGACAGCCCCGUACACAAAAAUGCACAUGCUGUGAGCUCGAUGAGUAGGGCGGGACACGUGGUAUCCUGUCUGAAUAUGGGGGGACCAUCCUCCAAGGCUAAAUACUCCUGACUGACCGAUAGUGAACCAGUACCGUGAGGGAAAGGCGAAAAGAACCCCGGCGAGGGGAGUGAAAAAGAACCUGAAACCGUGUACGUACAAGCAGUGGGAGCACGCUUAGGCGUGUGACUGCGUACCUUUUGUAUAAUGGGUCAGCGACUUAUAUUCUGUAGCAAGGUUAACCGAAUAGGGGAGCCGAAGGGAAACCGAGUCUUAACUGGGCGUUAAGUUGCAGGGUAUAGACCCGAAACCCGGUGAUCUAGCCAUGGGCAGGUUGAAGGUUGGGUAACACUAACUGGAGGACCGAACCGACUAAUGUUGAAAAAUUAGCGGAUGACUUGUGGCUGGGGGUGAAAGGCCAAUCAAACCGGGAGAUAGCUGGUUCUCCCCGAAAGCUAUUUAGGUAGCGCCUCGUGAAUUCAUCUCCGGGGGUAGAGCACUGUUUCGGCAAGGGGGUCAUCCCGACUUACCAACCCGAUGCAAACUGCGAAUACCGGAGAAUGUUAUCACGGGAGACACACGGCGGGUGCUAACGUCCGUCGUGAAGAGGGAAACAACCCAGACCGCCAGCUAAGGUCCCAAAGUCAUGGUUAAGUGGGAAACGAUGUGGGAAGGCCCAGACAGCCAGGAUGUUGGCUUAGAAGCAGCCAUCAUUUAAAGAAAGCGUAAUAGCUCACUGGUCGAGUCGGCCUGCGCGGAAGAUGUAACGGGGCUAAACCAUGCACCGAAGCUGCGGCAGCGACACUAUGUGUUGUUGGGUAGGGGAGCGUUCUGUAAGCCUGUGAAGGUGUGCUGUGAGGCAUGCUGGAGGUAUCAGAAGUGCGAAUGCUGACAUAAGUAACGAUAAAGCGGGUGAAAAGCCCGCUCGCCGGAAGACCAAGGGUUCCUGUCCAACGUUAAUCGGGGCAGGGUGAGUCGACCCCUAAGGCGAGGCCGAAAGGCGUAGUCGAUGGGAAACAGGUUAAUAUUCCUGUACUUGGUGUUACUGCGAAGGG
rnacentral:rRNA from 1 species